CAUAUCAAUAAGCGGAGGAAAAGAAACCAACAGGGAUUNCCUCAGUAACGGCGAGUGAAGCGNCAACAGCUCAAAUUUGAAAUCUGGCNNCNUNNCGGGGUCCGAGUUGUAAUUUGUAGAAGAUGCUUUGGGUGUGGCCCUGGUCUAAGUUCCUUGGAACAGGACGUCAUAGAGGGUGAGAAUCCCGUAUGUGACUGGGUGCCCACGCCCGUGUAAAGCUCUUUCGACGAGUCGAGUUGUUUGGGAAUGCAGCUCAAAAUGGGUGGUAAAUUUCAUCUAAAGCUAAAUAUUGGCCAGAGACCGAUAGCGCACAAGUAGAGUGAUCGAAAGAUGAAAAGCACUUUGGAAAGAGAGUUAAACAGUACGUGAAAUUGUUGAAAGGGAAGCGCUUGCAAUCAGACUUGCGCGCCGUUGAUCAUCCGGGGUUCUCCCCGGUGCACUCGGCGGCGCUCAGGCCAGCAUCGGUUCGGGUGGUGGGAUAAAGGCCUUGGGAAUGUAGCUCCUCUCGGGGAGUGUUAUAGCCCUCGGUGCCAUGCCGCCUACCUGGACCGAGGACCGCGCUUCGGCUAGGAUGCUGGCGUAAUGGUUGUAAGCGACC
rnacentral:rRNA from 1 species